CCCAAAAGAUCGAACGGGGAGAUUCAUCGUCAGCGGCGCUGGCUUCGCGUCGGUGGGCGAUGUCCCGCGGAGUCCUCGCGGCUCGCGCGCGGGCACGCUACCGUGCGCCGAUGUCCGGCUGUCGUCGUCGUGCACUUCUCCCCAAGUAGAACGUCGCGACCCGCUGGGUGUCGGUCUACGGCCCGGGUGCGGUGACUGUCGCGUCGCCGGUAAAACGGCACGCGACAAACCCUCGGUAGCCCGGCCGGCUGCUCGGCGGUACGCGCAAGGUAUCAGGUCGCACCUACGGUGCGUCGAGGACGUCGCAAGCGCGCGCCACGGUACUCGGAGGUCACGGACUUUGCGCCGUCCCCGGUCCUGGCCCGCUGCUGGUUAAAGUACGUAUAACCUUCGACAGGCCUGCGAACGUUCCUCUUCUAUCACGGGAGGGACGGAUACCGGUCGGCGACGCUACUGCU
rnacentral:rRNA from 1 species